rnacentral:tRNA from 2 species
UGCCUUAUAUUCAAUACUUAAAUAUGAUUUUAUAUUGCAAGUAUAAAGGUGCAGAUUUGCUAAGGCUU